ACCAUCUCAUGCUCGGUGUUGGACACAGGGGCAAGGAAAUGGCUCAGAAAAUGGGCAGAAAAGGGGAUGUGGUCCCCUAAAAGGCUUGAAGGCAAUCUCCAAGAGAAUCAAGGCGGGCAAUCAGAAGAUGAAAGUUGACUUCUCCAGACUUGGAGGACCGGUAGGUGAUAACUACCACUCAUUCGUUGAUGAAAUAGUAAUGUUUACAAGGAAAAGGGCACCACUCAUUGGAGUGAAAAUGUGGAAACAUGUCCAUAAAGAUGUAAAAGAGUCAAUAGCAUCUGAUAUAUUGGCUAGGUGGGACAUUGAGGAUAAUGAUCAUUCAAGGAGAAUCAUAUGGGACAUUACUAAGGAGCGUUACAAAGGAUGGCGUUCAACUUUUAGUGCUACGGCCAAGGCAUACAACAG